UACGUAGGCAGCGAGCGUUGUUCGGAAUUACUGGGCGUAAAGAGUGUGUAGGCGGUGCUCUAAGUUCGGUGUGAAAUCUCCCGGCUUAACUGGGAGGGUGCGCCGUAGACUGUGGGGCUAGAGUGUGGGAGAGGAAAGUGGAAUUCCUGGUGUAGCGGUGAAAUGCGUAGAUAUCAGGAGGAACACCGGUGGUGUAAACGGCUUUCUGGACCAUAACUGACACUGAGGCACGAAAGCGUGGGUAGCAAACAGG
rnacentral:rRNA from 1 species